UAUAAGAUAAGCGUUCCAGUUGAAUUUCGCUAAUGUAAUAUGUCAGUGUUGUGAACUUGUGAGCACCAGAGCAACACCACGGUAGGCCUACUGGGAUAGCGACAGAGACGUCAGAAAGAUAUCUCAGAACAACACCAACCACCAGAUAUUUUCAAGGCUAGCUACUACUAGAGGUCACUCAUCAUGGAGCCAAGGUUGGGCUCUGACCACAGACAGCUCUCCACCUGAAGCCUUCUCCUCUGAUCUGCUGACUCACUCCACACAGCGGACCUUUCAGUCCAGGAGGGAGGAAUCCAGGAAGAGCCAACCACAGAGAGGCAGAGCGGAGGGAGAUGACAGCACGCCGUUUGAGUCAUCAUGUCAUGUGUUUCUGCCUGUCUUCAGACAUCCAGACCCUUUUCCGUCCUCCAAUAAGCUUCUCUCUAAAGCAGGAAGCUGACAUCAUUAUCUGUCCGACUCCUGGAGCCCGAAGCUCAAGUACUCAAAAUGUAAUUUAUGAAGGUAAUAGUUUUUGUAAAAACAAUUAUAAAUACAUGUACUGUAAGUAAUAUCGUCAUCAACCAUGCAACGCUAGUCUGUAUCUAUUUUACA